rnacentral:lncRNA from 1 species
UUAGUUGUCUUUCUUUUUGUAAGCAAAGAUUUUUUAUUUUUCCUCAUUAUUGUCUAUGCUAUAUCUAAUAUUACUCAUUGCAUAUUUGUCAGGAAAAUAGGUAGAUAUUACAGCAAAUUCUCUUCAUCCAGGAGCAAUUAUAACCAAUAUAUAUAAGCCAGAGAUUACUGUCGUCGUGCCAAGAGGUACUUACCACAUUGAACCAUUCAUAGAUGAAUUUAUGAUUUUUCUAGAAUUCAUGCAGAUCUUGAAUUCAUAAUCUACCAUAUUCCUUCUAUAAGUCUUCAGCAAAUUUACNAUNUAAUGAAAAGUUCCUCUUUUAUAGUUUAAGUUCAAUAACUCACGUCAUACACUUAUAAGUAAGUCAUCAUAAUUUACUUCUUACUAUAAAUUUCAAAUUCAUAAGAUACUUCUUACUAUAAUUCUUUUGACCACCC